rnacentral:lncRNA from 1 species
AGGGUAGGUGAGGGGCUUAAUCUGGUUUAUUUGUUAGUUAAAACGGAAUAUUACAAAACAAAUAGUUUCCCGUUUCCAUCACAACGGACUGAUGCAGAUUGAUACAAAGAAGAAUAAAAGAGUUUGUUUAAGCCCAUCAUCAGCUGCCUCUACACCAAUCACUGCCUCAAGUUCUCCACAAUGUAGGACGCGUAAAGAUCCCUGCAACCCACCAAAUACGGGUAAAUAUAAUCUUCAUUUUCGAGAUAUAUAAUAUAAAUGAUUUUCAUACUCACAUUGAGUAUUUGAUAGCAUCAAUUGCUGUUUCAGCAGGGAGGAAGUCUUCCACUGCAACUGACUUGUUCUCAUUCUUUUUAUCUGUUUCAUUACAAGUCAUGGAAACUACUUGCUUAUUUGCAAUUGCACACCCUAUAAGCAGUUAAUACUUUGGAAAGGAUACAGUCCUCAAAGAAGCGGCGAAUUUCAGCUAGACGGUGAGGAGGGAGCUCGUUUAUGUCCUGAUAAUGGCGGAACUCAGGGUCGUCAGCGCAUACUGCAAUGAUUUUGUCGUCCCUCUCGCCCUGUCGAAUGGUUCUUCAAUGAUAAGUUCGAUGUAUUAAUAAGCUACUGAAAGAAAGAGAUAGUUACCUGAUCUAUCAUUGGCAUCAAGCCAAUGGCACGAGCACGGAGGUAAGUACCGGGAAGAACAGGUUCCUGCGUACGAAAAAGAAACAAGUAUUAACAGUUUCACAACUCAAUAUAGCAAUCUCACAGCAAAUAAGAAGUUGGAAGCUGGAACCUGCAUCAGCACCAAAACAUCGAUGGGGUCAUUGUCUUCACAAAGGGUUCGUGGAACAAAACCAUAGUUGUGUGGAUAUACAACGGACGAGUAGAGAACUCUAUCCACCUGUAAAAUCAUCAGUUGUUCCUAAAUUGGAGCAAAGCAUAAAACCUGACUUUAUCAAGAAUUAAGCGACACGAGAGGACAUUGUUGUGUGGUAGAUUUCCUAUUCUAGUAGAUCAAGGUUUGUUCUAGCUAGUCUAUAUGCACCUCUUUGUUGCUAUUCUANGAACCUUAUAAAUAAUACUCCUUCCGUCCACCAAAGGUAUGCCACAAUUUCCUUUUUCGUCCGUCCACAAAUAAAUAUGUCACAUCCAUUUUUAGUAGUAGGGUCCACAUCAUUCCACUCACAUUUAAAGUGAGACCCUUACUCCACUACUAACUUCACUCACAUUUUAUUAAAACUUGUGCCGAAAGUAAAGUGACAUAUCUUUGGUGGACGGAUGGAGUACUAAUUUGGGUGCAGAUCAACCCGAUUGUACCCAAAUUUUUGUGAUAUAUAAAUAUACACACAUAUAGUUUAUAAGCUAUAAAAUCAUAGUAAUUUAUAAGCUAUAAAAUCACUAUCAAAUUGUCGUCUAAAAAAAACAGUACAAUAUUGCUUAUCCCUGAAUUAUACUAAAUUGUUAUUUCAUAAUUAUGGUGAAAUUAUUUUUAUCAAAUGGCAUUAUGAUUUUUAGUAAUUGAAUUAAAUUUGAGUUUCAUGUUUUAGUAGGCUCGUAAUGCGCUAUAUAAUAGAGAAAUGAGCCAAAAUUGGAGAAAGUGAGGGUAGGUGAGGGGCUUAAUCUGGUUUAAUUUGUUAGUUAAAACGGAAUAAUUACAAAACAAAUAGUUUACCCGUUUCCAUCACAACGGACUGAUGCAGAUAUUAGCACAUGAUACAAAGAAGAAUAAAAGAGUUUGUUUAAGCCCAUCAUCAGCUGCCUCUACACCAAUCACUGCCUCAAGUUCUCCACAAUGUAGGACGCGUAAAGAUCCC